rnacentral:sRNA from 2 species
GAGGAGAAUCGUGCAUAUGCAUAAAAGGAUAAGCAGGAGGAAUAGUCUUGUCAAUCCUUUGUAACUGUUCGACCUAAUCUGGCGAUACGACUGUUGACACGAGAUUAGCACCCAUCCCCUCUCAUAGGCUAGGGGUUCAGUGAAACAAAUUUCAUUCUGAAGGAAACGAGGUUGAUGGCAAAUGGGUGUUCCUUUCUCUGCUUUAAAUCAUGAGAAAAUCUGAAGUACGUUGGCGAUGAGUAACGUAGAUAUUGAAAUCCAGCAAAUUUGGUAAACCCUAAUACAUUGCAAUUAAGGACCACACAAAAUAGCAUAAAUGAGAUAGUGAUAAGCCUUCGGGGGGGUUAUAAAA